rnacentral:rRNA from 1 species
AUGAACGCUGGCGGCGUGCCUAAUACCUGCAAGUCGAGCGAACAGAUGAGGAGCUUGCUCCUCUGACGUUAGCGGCGGACGGGUGAGUAACACGUGGAUAACCUACCUAUAAGACUGGGAUAACUUCGGGAAACCGGAGCUAAUACCGGAUAAUAUAUUGAACCGCAUGGUUCAAUAGUGAAAGACGGUUUUGCUGUCACUUAUAGAUGGAUCCGCGCCGCAUUAGCUAGUUGGUAAGGUAACGGCUUACCAAGACAACGAUGCGUAGCCGACCUGAGAGGGUGAUCGGCCACACUGGAACUGAGACACGGUCCAGACUCCUACGGGAGGCAGCAGUAGGGAAUCUUCCGCAAUGGGCGAAAGCCUGACGGAGCAACGCCGCGUGAGUGAUGAAGGUCUUCGGAUCGUAAAACUCUGUUAUUAGGGAAGAACAAAUGUGUAAGUAACUAUGCACGUCUUGACGGUACCUAAUCAGAAAGCCACGGCUAACUACGUG